CCACUGAGAUGUUCCCAACCACAAUCAGAAGACAAGUUAUCCCAGGUAAAAGGAGCAGGGAAGAAGCGGCGACGAUCUUUAAAAUUUCAGAUAAUGUCCGAUAUGGCACUCGUGCAACAAAUUGCAGAGACAUGUUGCUGCUGCACGAAGAAGCGGGGCAUGGAAACAAACUGUCGCCUUUCUAAAAAACGAAGCUGAAAAAAUCACAUGGGUACUUUCACAACUUCAGGCAAGAGAUGUACAAAGAGCAAGAGAUAAAGGAGAGGCGCUCAAAAAGCUUCGUUUCAUAUUAACAGAUCCCCCGAUCGGUGUAAAAAUAUAUUCAAAAAAGUCAUUAGUUCUCCCACCAAAUCGAUUUUGUAUCUCAGUUAGUGGCUAUCCACCAAGUUUGACGGGUUCUCGAGUCAAUCCAAAAUGCAUCGUUAGCUCCAGCUGGACAUGGCAUCGUUGGCUAAUGAUGAUUGAAUCGAUGGCCCGGCAACAACGGGCGCUGCAUGCAACAUGUUGCCGAGAAACGCCAUUUACAUAUUUUCCAAAUGGCAAUCGGAAGUUCGUAUUUUCGCAUUUUCCACGCUUAGCCAAAUGGAAAAUGCAAUAAAUCAAAUGCACCAACGGCGGCAACAACAACGCUUCAGUGAAUUUCUUGCUUCGAGUUGGCAGCGCAAAAUAAGAGUUGCCACGUUUAUAUAUCUUGGCAACAAUAUGGCCAAAAGCCGAGGCCACAAUGGCGAUAACGAAGCUAGAAAUACCCUUGAUUGCAGGAUAUUUCCACGAAGCCCUUGGCGAUAUAAGAAUUUCUCAUAAGUAAACUUGUUACAUUCUAAUUGGCACAUUGGUUUAA